UUUUUCCCUCUAUUUUCAAAGUGCCCCUUUUUACCAAAUGCCCAAAUUCCCCUCAUUUCCCUCUUCUCAUAGACCCCUCCUCCAAUUUCCUUCUUCUUGCAAACCUCUCCCCUGACGCCGCUACCAUCCAAACAUCGUCAUCGACUCACUGUGCUUUUCAUCGAACAACUCCCUGGUUGCCGAACUAGUUGUUGAAUCGCUGCACCAGAUAGGCAUUGAACAAGGCGGACCGAGCACCAGGGUGGUGCUGCACACAAAGGAGGUUGGGGUGCCAAGAGGCAUGUGAUGUGCAUGGUGAGCAACGUACAAGGCAUGCCAUGCGCUCGCGGCCACCAAGCAUGCAACAACAAAGCACAUAGUUAUGCACACACGUGGUUAGGAUGCGGCCCAAGGCCCUUGCAAGUGCGCGCCAAGGCUGCCGCCCAUGCGUGCGCGCCAACCCAGCCCAUAUGCCUUUUUUAGCUUUUUUUUUUUUUUUUUGUAGUAUUUUGGCAAUUUUUCCUUGGAGAUUGGAUGUUUUCUUAAUGAGAAGAUAUUUUUUAAGGAUAAAUAUAGUUAUUUCAGGACAAGAAGUGGUUGAUGAAAGUAAUGUUUUGUAUAUGAAAGUAUGGAUGUUUUCAAAAUGUUGAUAUAUUUAUGGUGAAAUGUUAAUAUAUUUUAAAGA